rnacentral:rRNA from 1 species
GACAGAGGGUGCAAACGUUGUUCGGAAUUACUGGGCGUAAAGCGCGUGUAGGCUGUUCGGAAAGUCGGAUGUGAAAGCCCUGGGCUUAACCCAGGAAGUGCAUUCGAAACUCCCGAACUCGAGUCCUGGAGAGGAAGGCGGAAUUCUCGGUGUAGAGGUGAAAUUCGUAGAUAUCAAGCGGAACACCGGUGGCGAAGGCGGCCUUCUGGACAGUGACUGACGCUGAGACGCGAAAGCGUGGGGAGCAAACAGG